UUUUUUCUCUAUAUCAGUCGCAUCAGUGGGUGUUUACGUCACAGAACAAAUAUCUGAAAUUUAUGGUUGGACUAAAACUUCAACAACAUGAUAUUUUUUUUCCAUAUACACUAUGAUUAAGUGCCUGCUAGUGACUGUAACAUUGUUUUACAUAAAGAUAACAAUUGUCUUUCAAAGAGUCUGAUAUUAACAUUUCGGAGUGUUCAGGUGACAGGCCUAUUUUGAUUCUUGAUUCGCCUUAAUGAUUUAGCAUGCACGUUAUGUACCUAUGCCUCCAUACCUGUGUUAUCAUGAGCUGUGUUGACUGUGGUCGGAUUGCAUUAAAAUGUGUUGGGCUAUUGUC
rnacentral:misc_RNA from 1 species